UGGGGAAUUUUGGACAAUGGGGGCAACCCUGAUCCAGCAAUGCCGCGUGUGUGAAGAAGGCCUUCGGGUUGUAAAGCACUUUUGUCCGGAAAGAAAACGUCGUGGUUAAUACCCGUGGCGGCUGACGGUACCGGAAGAAUAAGCACCGGCUAACUACGUGCCAGCAGCCGCGGUAAUACGUAGGGUGCAAGCGUUAAUCGGAAUUACUGGGCGUAAAGCGUGCGCAGGCGGUCCGCUAAGACAGAUGUGAAAUCCCCGGGCUUAACCUGGGAACUGCAUUUGUGACUGGCGGGCUAGAGUAUGGCAGAGGGGGGUAGAAUUCCACGUGUAGCAGUGAAAUGCGUAGAGAUGUGGAGGAAUACCGAUGGCGAAGGCAGCCCCCUGGGCCAAUACUGACGCUCAUGCACGAAAGCGUGGGGAGCAAACAGGAUUAGAUACCCUGGUAGUCCACGCCCUAAACGAUGUCAACUAGUUGUCGGGUCUUCAUUGACUUGGUAAGUAGCUAACGCGUGAAGUUGACCGCCUGGGGAGUACGGUCGCAAGAUUAAAACUCAAAUGAAUUGACGGGGUCAUAGCUGUUUCCUG
rnacentral:rRNA from 1 species